rnacentral:tRNA from 1 species
UCCCGUGUGGCUCAGUUGGUAGAGCAUGGGGCUUGCAACGCCAAGGGUUGUGGGUUUGAUUCCCACUAGGGAAA